CUGGUUGAUUCUGCCAGCAGUCAUAUGCUUGUCUCAUAGAUUAAGCCAUGCAUGUCUAAGUAUAAACACCUUAUACUGUGAAACUGCGAAUGGCUCAUUAAAUCAAUUAUAAUUUAUUUGAUGGGUUUUGCUACAUGGAUAACUGUGGUAAUUCUAGAGCUAAUACAUGCAUACAAACCCCGACUUCUGGAAGGGGUGUAUUUAUUACAUAAAAAUCAACACUGUAGGUGAAUCAUGAUAACUUCUCCGAUCGCAUGGCCUCGUGCUGGCUAUACUUCAUUCAAAUAUCUGCCCUAUCAACUGUCGAUGGUAGGAUAGAGGCCUACCAUGGUUGCAACGGGUAACGGGGAAUAAGGGUUCGAUUCCGGAUAGGGAGCCUGAGAAACGGCUACCACAUCCUAGGAAAGCAGCAUGCUCGCAAAUUACCCAAUCCCGACACGGGGAGGUAUUGACAAUAUGUAACAAUAUCCGGCUUUAUCGUCGUAUGAUUGGAAUGAGUACAAUUUAAAUCCCUUAACUAGGAACAUCUGGAGGGCAAGUCUGGUGCCAGCAGCCGCGGUAAUUCCAGCUCCAAAAGCGUAUAUUAAACU
rnacentral:rRNA from 1 species